GAUUGAGGCUUCGGCCGAUUGAAGCAGAGGAAAGCGGCGAAAGGGAGAGUAACGCGUAGAUACGUACCCUCAGGAUCGGAAUAGCCGCGGGAAACUGCGGGUAAUGCCGAAUGAUGUCUCCGGACCAAAGAUCCGUCGCCUGAGGAGCGGUCUGCGUCCUAUUAGGUUGUUGGUGAGGUAAAGGCUCACCAAGCCGAAGAUGGGUAGCGGGUGUGAGAGCAUGGCCCGCCUCACUGGGACUGAGACACUGCCCAGACACCUACGGGUGGCUGCAGUCGAGAAUCUUCCGCAAUGGGCGCAAGCCUGACGGAGCGACGCCGCGUGCGGGAUGAAGGCCUUCGGGUUGUAAACCGCCGUCAGAGGGGAGCAAAGGCAACUUGAGCGAUCCUCAGAGGAAGGCCGGGCUAAGUUCGUGCCAGCAGCCGCGGUAACACGAACCGGCCGAACGUUAUUCGGAAUCA
rnacentral:rRNA from 1 species